AGAGUUUGAUCAUGGCUCAGGACGAACGCUGGCGGCGUGCUUAACACAUGCAAGUCGAACGGAAAGGCCCUGCUUUUGUGGGGUGCUCGAGUGGCGAACGGGUGAGUAACACGUGAGUAACCUGCCCUUGACUUUGGGAUAACUUCAGGAAACUGGGGCUAAUACCGGAUAGGAGCUCCUGCUGCAUGGUGGGGGUUGGAAAGUUUCGGCGGUUGGGGAUGGACUCGCGGCUUAUCAGCUUGUUGGUGGGGUAGUGGCUUACCAAGGCUUUGACGGGUAGCCGGCCUGAGAGGGUGACCGGCCACAUUGGGACUGAGAUACGGCCCAGACUCCUACGGGAGGCAGCAGUGGGGAAUAUUGCACAAUGGGCGGAAGCCUGAUGCAGCAACGCCGCGUGCGGGAUGACGGCCUUCGGGUUGUAAACCGCUUUCGCCUGUGACGAAGCGUGAGUGACGGUAAUGGGUAAAGAAGCACCGGCUAACUACGUGCCAGCAGCCGCGGUGAUACGUAGGGUGCGAGCGUUGUCCGGAUUUAUUGGGCGUAAAGGGCUCGUAGGUGGUUGAUCGCGUCGGAAGUGUAAUCUUGGGGCUUAACCCUGAGCGUGCUUUCGAUACGGGUUGACUUGAGGAAGGUAGGGGAGAAUGGAAUUCCUGGUGGAGCGGUGGAAUGCGCAGAUAUCAGGAGGAACACCAGUGGCGAAGGCGGUUCUCUGGGCCUUUCCUGACGCUGAGGAGCGAAAGCGUGGGGAGCGAACAGGCUUAGAUACCCUGGUAGUCCACGCUGUAAACGGUGGGUACUAGGUGUGGGGUCCAUUCCACGGGUUCCGUGCCGUAGCUAACGCUUUAAGUACCCCGCCUGGGGAGUACGGCCGCAAGGCUAAAACUCAAAGGAAUUGACGGGGCCCCGCACAAGCGGCGGAGCAUGCGGAUUAAUUCGAUGCAACGCGUAGAACCUUACCUGGGUUUGACAUGGAUCGGGAGCGCUCAGAGAUGGGUGUGCCUCUUUUGGGGUCGGUUCACAGGUGGUGCAUGGCUGUCGUCAGCUCGUGUCGUGAGAUGUUGGGUUAAGUCCCGCAACGAGCGCAACCCUUGUUCACUGUUGCCAGCACGUUAUGGUGGGGACUCAGUGGAGACCGCCGGGGUCAACUCGGAGGAAGGUGGGGAUGACGUCAAGUCAUCAUGCCCCUUAUGUCCAGGGCUUCACGCAUGCUACAAUGGCUGGUACAGAGAGUGGCGAGCCUGUGAGGGUGAGCGAAUCUCGGAAAGCCGGUCUCAGUUCGGAUUGGGGUCUGCAACUCGACCUCAUGAAGUCGGAGUCGCUAGUAAUCGCAGAUCAGCAACGCUGCGGUGAAUACGUUCCCGGGGCUUGUAGACACCGCCC
rnacentral:rRNA from 1 species